rnacentral:lncRNA from 1 species
CCGCCUGCACCACGCAACCUCCGCCCUCUCGCCUUCCCUGCGCGGCUCCCCGCCCUCUCGGCCUCACCGGCUCCGGCGACCGCGGGGGAGAAGCUGUUGGGGGAGGGCCGGAACGCACCGCCAUCGGCGUCCGGGGCGGGGGAGCCGGGAAACCGUCGUCGCCAUCGCCCCGCCAGCCCGAGGCGCGGGAGGGGCCCGGAAAGCUCCCUCCCGCCCGCUCGCCGCUGCCGGCGGCCCCGGGGGCGCCCCUUCCGCGGCCGAGGCCCCCGCUCGCGUGGGGAAGCUUCUACCUGCGAGCCUGCGGCCCCUGCCCCCGGCACCCGAGACAUCCCCGACCCGGCGCGCCGGAUUCUCUGCCAGGUUUUACAGCCUCCCUCGCCUUGGGACCGCCGCGGAGGACCCGUUCCCGCCACUUCGGACCUCGCGAGCGGGGCUGAGCUGCUUGGGUCGGGGACACCACCAGCCUCUGGAGAAACGGCCCGAAGCACCCCGAAGAAGAGGGGGUCCCAGUCCCCUGCCCCUCCCUUGUGCGCACCCCCACCCCCAGCUUGCCUGGAACCUGACUCCACACCUUUGUCGACCGGGACAGGGACUGGGGGUUGCACCCCAGAUCAGAAAGUCAGAGGUGGCCCUCCGAAUCGGCGCGGA